AUGUUUAUUUAUUUUGUACUUCUUACAACUGUUUAUGUGCUUCGAUGUGUUUGCCUGGUUAAUAUUUUUCCAUGUUUACUUUGUGUAGUUCUUCCUACACCUGUUGUUAGUCGUGUUGAUGCUGUUUGGAAUCGUCGGAAGCGAAGGAUUCUUCGAGAUUAUUACACCGGCAAAAAAAGAGGCGUUUCACGUGUUCGCUCUUAUUAUGGUGGUCCUGAGUAUGUUUGCCCGGCGUGCAUGCUUCAUUUUGGUUUCUGGAGGGCUGUAAGAGUUAUGCUACUGGUGGUCGCCUUCCUGGACGGGCUAGGUGCCGAGCAGCUCCACCAUGAACUGUGA
rnacentral:rRNA from 1 species